GCAUAUCAAUAAGCGGAGGAAAAGAAACCAACAGGGAUUGCCUCAGUAACGGCGAGUGAAGCGGCAACAGCUCAAAUUUGAAAUCUGGCUCUUUCAGGGUCCGAGUUGUAAUUUGUAGAGGAUGUUUCGGGUGUGGCUCCGGUCUAAGUUCCUUGGAACAGGACGUCAUAGAGGGUGAGAAUCCCGUAUGUGACUGGUAGCCUAUGCUCAUGUGAAACUCCUUCGACGAGUCGAGUUGUUUGGGAAUGCAGCUCAAAAUGGGUGGUAAAUUUCAUCUAAAGCUAAAUAUUGGCCAGAGACCGAUAGCGCACAAGUAGAGUGAUCGAAAGAUGAAAAGCACUUUGGAAAGAGAGUUAAACAGUACGUGAAAUUGUUGAAAGGGAAGCGCUUGCAACCAGACUUGCAUGUAGCUGAUCAACCGGUGUUCUCACCGGUGCACUCAGUUGCGUUCAGGCCAGCAUCGGUUUCGACGGUUGGAUAAAGGCCUUGGGAAUGUAGCUUCUUUCGGGGAGUGUUAUAGCCCAGGGUGCAAUGCAGCCUGUCGGGACCGAGGACCGCGCUUCGGCUAGGAUGCUGGCGUAAUGGUUGUAAGCGACCCGUCUUGAAACACGGACCAAGGAGUCUAACAUCUAUGCGAGUGUUUGGGUGUCAAACCCAUACGCGUAAUGAAAGUGAACGGAGGUGAGAACCCUUAAGGGUGCAUCAUCGACCGAUCCUGAUGUCUUCGGAUGGAUUUGAGUAAGAGCAUAGCUGUUGGGACCCGAAAGAUGGUGAACUAUGCCUGAAUAGGGUGAAGCCAGAGGAAACUCUGGUGGAGGCUCGCAGCGGUUCUGACGUGCAAAUCGAUCGUCAAAUUUGGGUAUAGGGGGCGAAAGACUAAUCGAACUAUCUAGUAGCUGGCUCUGCGAG
rnacentral:rRNA from 1 species